UACGGAGGGAGUUAGCGUUGUUCGGAAUUACUGGGCGUAAAGCGCACGUAGGCGGCCAUUCAAGUCAGAGGUGAAAGCCCGGGGCUCAACCCCGGAGCUGCCUUUGAAACUAGAUGGCUUGAAUCUUGGAGAGGCGAGUGGAAUUCCGAGUGUAGAGGUGAAAUUCGUAUAUAUUCGGAAGAACAUCAGUGGCGAAGGCGACUCGCUGGACAAGUAUUGACGCUGAGGUGCGAAAGCGUGGGGAGCAAACAGG
rnacentral:misc_RNA from 1 species